rnacentral:lncRNA from 10 species
CCACUACAACUUUCAUCAUUGCAUUUGAUCUUCACCAACAAAGGUAGAUAUUGCAUCUCAGACAUAUGUUUGUGACAUGAGAGCACCAAAUGAAGUCACAGCCUCCUCUAUGAAUGGAAUCACAGCGAUGUGAAGAGAGGGAGUAUUCAUUGCAAUUUAACCAAAGAGGGACAUUUGGUGGAACUGACAGGAAGAGCCAAACGUACCUUAUGACGCCAUCAGAUGAAGUCUGCGUGAAUCUGCCAAGGCUGAAAUCCGACAGGAGGUCAGGUUUGAGCUCCAGUUCCUUGGAAUGACUCAGCUGUAGUUUCCUAAAAUU